CAAAAUAGCUCACUGCUUACAAGGAAUCAAUCGAACUGAAUAUUGAUCCCAAACUGAAACUUGAAUUUGAGAAGGUAAUAUUUUUUUUUAAGUAAAUUUUGAACAUAAAUUUGUUCUUCUUAUAUUCUCUGCAGUAGAUGUGGCCUUAUCUAGUUGCGAGUUAGAUGGACAGGCAGCUUUGUAGUUGUCUAUUUGUCAGGAUUCACUUUAGAAAUAGAUCUAAGCUGUUUUCCUUGGUGAUCUGAGUUUUUUUGCAGACUGCUAACUAAAGUUCCAUAGACUUGAUGUGCUCGCAGGUUUGAAUCAAGGAUCUCAAGGACAGGUUCAUGGAAGAAACUGUGUGACUGUUUAGUUUCUAGUGUAUCUCAGCUGCUGUACAAGGCUAUGAAGGAAUCAAGAGAGUCAAUGGAAGUUGGGCAUAUCACAAGAUUGUGUUGCUGCUAGUUUACAACUCAGGUAUGGACAGUAGAUUUGCUGGUAGCUCAGGAAUUAUGUUUGGCCACACAUAAAUUGAGCAUGGCUAACAUAUUGUCUAAGACCUUCAUGGUUCUAAGAGGGAAUUCACGAGGAUGAUUCAAAUCUUGCUUCAAGGUAGAUAAUUGGUUGAGCUUCUCUAUUGGCGAGGAUUAGAUGUAUGAGAAUUGGUUUGAGUAUUCUAAAGAGAUUACGAUUUCCUAUAGUGGAUGCAACUGGACUCAGUUUAUUAAACUCACGCAUGUAAUUUCCCUUGGGGGGUUGCACUGAUAGUGAGUAUCAAGUAUCAAAGAGGAAGGAUAAUGUGUUCAUCUACUUAUUUUUAAUCAUGUUUUUUAUUUUAUUUUGUAAUACAGUUUUUUUUAAA